rfam:Salmo salar isolate Sally breed double haploid chromosome ssa19, whole genome shotgun sequence.
UGCAUUCACUAUUGUAAAUCGCACUGGAUAAGAGUGUCUGCUAAAUGACUAAAA